AAAACUUAUUUUAGAGAGAGAGAUGCUCUUCCUUUCUUGUUGUUUAUAGAGAAGUUAAACCAAACGUGGCAGACGCAGUUGAUGGUAAACUCAGCCAAAAUUGGAGAACUAGUUGUAAAACCCCAUUAUACAUACUCUUUAAGGAAAAAUUAGGAAUCCCGCUUUGCAAGGCAAUAACGAAUUACAAACCCAAUAUGGAACCUUUGUUGUUAGAGCAGGGACUUGGCAUUAUUUAUUCGCCAAUGUUCGCUCAAUUCCAUGUCCACACUCCGCUGGCAAUCUUUCAAAAGAACUGAUUAAACUCAGAAGCACUAGUCAUUGGACUGUGACGCAGCUUAUCAGGAACAGCUUUUCAAUUGUCAGAUUUUGGUCAAGAAAGAUUACUGUGAUCCUGUUGAAGGGGAACUUUUAUUUUUCAGUUUGUUAAAUCAGCCAACCUUUUCUAUUUCAAGACGAGUCUUAAUCAACAGGAGCAUGACACGAGGCAAGCUAAGGCCCUGUUGACUUCACCUGAUUUUUCAUGAACUGAACUUAUUUUGUAGUUAACUGAAUUUAUCUUUACUGAACUGAAUAUAUUUUUACUGAGUCUCUAACUCUCUAUUGUUUUAUCUUGUACAGUUUACUGAGCUCUACUGAUCAGAACUAAUUAUUACUGAACUGAACAUAUUUUAACUGAAUUGAACAUAUUAUAACUGAACUGAACAUAUUUUUACUGAAGUGAACAUACUUUUACUGAAUUUCGUUUUAGGGUGAACUCAUCGAGGCAUAUGGUGCACAGAUUGUGAAAGAACACCAUAAAUAAAAAGUGAUUGAUGAAGUAGAUAGAUUAUGGCUAAGGAGGUGCACAAAUUAGCUUUGCAGGCAAGACAACGUAAUGUAGAUAGUGUGGUUUUCUAUGUUUGUACUUGCUGUCAAAAAAACUUUUAAGAUCAUAUAAAUGUGAGGUGGGGCCUGAAAAACUUGGCCACUCUGUUACGAACUCAAGCUCUGGACAGAUUGUUAAUAAGCUGAAGAAGAUGAUUUUCACUAAUAAAACUGAAAUUACAGAAAAUGAAAGGAUAAAUAUCAAGUAUUUCAGUGACUUGACACACUCCUAAGCUAACCGCUAAAAUGAACUCUCCAUUAUUUUCUUCAUAGUAAUGUCUCUCUCUACUCUCAUCUAUAUAUAGUCUUCUUGUUUCCCCUUUCCCUCUAAAUUAUCUGCCUUCUCCCUUAAGCUUAUCCCUCGUAUAGCGGGUUCAUUACAAAGUUUAAAUGUGAUAUUCUCUUUUCACCAUGCACUUCACCUUUCUGAAAUGUCUUCAUCGUCCUACACAAUCCUCACUUAACGACCACUUAUCUCUGUAACAGAUAUAUAGUUUUUGGUGGAAUUCUGUUCAGAGGAGAUGGUGUCAUGGGUAAUAAAAGUGAAGCCUGGUCUGUUUGGAUAAGGAAGAUCUGAAAUCUCCCCGUAUAGCAUAGCGAUUACAGUAGGGCAUGCCAUCUCCACAGAAUGAAUACAAGGGUAACAAUUGUAGCUGCUCCUAUGCUUCCUGUUGCUGCAAUAACUGCUGUUUUUUCACUGUCAUGUCCUGCAAAGCAUAAUGAGACCUCAAUUGCAAUCCGAACUGGGUAAACCAAGUUUGGACCUGAAAGGCUGAAACAAACCAAAAAUUGAUUUGAACAAAAUUGAUCUAUUUUCCAGAACUAACUCAUUGAAGGUGGACCCGAAUAUUACCCAACAAGAUUUGACAUGAUCGAUACUACACCAAAUGACCCAUCACCCAGAAACGAUAAUGACCUGUGUACGACCUCUAGACAAAAUGGUAGCACAGAUCUGGGUAAGAUAGACAACCAAAGAAUUAUUACCUAGCUCAGAAUGUGCUAGCCUUAUGUAAAGAUCCAUCCCACCUUCAGGCAUCUCUUCUGUGUCAACCAAGUCUCUAUUCCAUGACAUACAUCCAGCACCUGAUUCAAAUACAUAAGCUGCACACGUACAGUUCCUUAAGCACUGGUUUCGGCACUCAUCUUCAUCCAAUCCAAUUAACCAGUCAGCAUUAUCUGGCACCUUAAUUGCCACUAGUCUAACAAACUCGUCUUCUUUCCCCCCUUCACUAUUACAUUGCAGUGGCAUUUUUCUUAUGCAUCCGUUCCUCCAGUUUCCUUUACUCCAUUCUAACUUAUUUUUUGGUUUGAAUCCUUUCAAGCACGAACAAAUUGGAGAAUUCAGUUUAUUACAACUUCCAAAUGCUCCACACUUUCCAUAAAUAUCACACUGCGUAUUUGGCGCUUUCCAUGCGACCCUCCAUUCUUUCUUACUGUCAUCCCACCAUCUCUGAGUCAAAAUUCCUGUAUAGCUCAAGCCGUAGUUCGACAACAAUGACUCAUUUGCAUAAGAAUAUGUUAAAGAAAUGGUGCCUUGCCUGUCAUUCUCAAGAAUGAAUCCAGCAUCAUUAAAAUUAUCAGAACCAUUGUUUUGUAUUCCGUUAAAGAUUUGGCCGUUCCAUGGACCACUCCUCCAAUAGGGCUUAUCACCAUUAAAUAUAACAAGUUGUGGGAAGGCAAAAGAAUCAAUGCCAACCGAGAACUUCCCGUAAGAUGGGUCGGAAGGGCCAUUCCAAGCCUGCAACAUCAUCCUGAUGUCACUGUUUCUGGUGACAGUAAGCUUCAUAUUUGGCAAGGCUGUAUCAGUUGGGUGCUUAAAACUCUGCCAUAAGAUCAUUCCUUUAGGUCCCAUCAGAACUAGGUUGCCUGAGUCCAAGAGCUGUGCUUCUGAGUUACCAUAAAAUUGGUGUGACACAGAAACAUUCGAGGACCAAAGUGUGCGGUUUCGAGCAUUCAAGAUUCGUAGAUUACCAUCCUCGGAAAUUCUAAUGGACCCACCAGAGGAAUCAUUCAAAGGGUUAUUCCUGUUGGCCACCCAUACAACAUUCUUGAUAUGGAGUCUGCUGUACCAGAUCCCCACAUAACGGUUUGUAGUGUUAGGGGGCUGAAAGAAACCCAGGUUAAAAGCACCAUUACUGGAGAUUAUAGUAUCAGGGUCUGUAAGAAAUUUGGUAGCUGUAAUUUUGUCUACAGCUGUGCUAUAUUGCAAGAGAAAGAAACAGAUGAAGAGAAUGGAAUUUAAAACAACCAUGAUGUUUAAUAUGAUGUAAUACGUAAUAAGGAGAAAUAAGAAGGAUUUGGGCUCCUAUAUAAGAAAAUGGAGUCAUUUGUCUUAGGAAUUUUAUAGAAUCUAAAAGCUUGAAUCGUUAGUGAUUGAUUCACUGAUUCUGACAUA